rnacentral:rRNA from 1 species
UACGUAGGGCGCAAGCGUUGUCCGGAAUUAUUGGGCGUAAAGAGCGUGUAGGCGGUCCGGUAAGUCAGCUGUGAAAGUCAAGGGCUCAACCCUUGAAAGCCGGUUGAUACUGUCGGGCUAGAGUCCGGAAGAGGCGAGUGGAAUUCCCGGUGUAGCGGUGAAAUGCGCAGAUAUCAGGAGGAACACCGGUGGCGAAGGCGGGUCUCUGGGCCGAUACUGACGCUGAGGAGCGAAAGCGUGGGGAGCGAACAGG